AGCGAACGCUGGCGGCAGGCUUAACACAUGCAAGUCGAGCGGGCACUUCGGUGUCAGCGGCAGACGGGUGAGUAACACGUGGGAACGUACCCUUCGGUUCGGAAUAACGCUGGGAAACUAGCGCUAAUACCGGAUACGCCCUUUUGGGGAAAGGUUUACUGCCGAAGGAUCGGCCCGCGUCUGAUUAGCUAGUUGGUGGGGUAAUGGCCUACCAAGGCGACGAUCAGUAGCUGGUCUGAGAGGAUGAUCAGCCACACUGGGACUGAGACACGGCCCAGACUCCUACGGGAGGCAGCAGUGGGGAAUAUUGGACAAUGGGCGCAAGCCUGAUCCAGCCAUGCCGCGUGAGUGAUGAAGGCCUUAGGGUUGUAAAGCUCUUUUGUCCGGGACGAUAAUGACGGUACCGGAAGAAUAAGCCCCGGCUAACUUC
rnacentral:rRNA from 1 species